GGCUGUCUGCAGUGUCUUAUUUCAGCAUGUGGAAUAAAAACAGGCAGGAGCUUCUGUUAUAUUCUGAAGUGGAGGGUGUGGCUUUUGGAAGAGUGGAUCCCAUGUCUAUUGAAAACCAAAUGUCGUACAAGGAAAAGGAAUGAAGAUGAUUAUUGAGUAUAACAAGGAAGACUCUCCUCACAUCCUGCAAUUUUCGGCUAUGAUUGUGACUGAUGUCAUCUAGCCAGUCAAGCAGCAAGUGAACAUCACAAUUGGAGCUAACAAACAAAACAAAGAGAUGAAGCAGUUGAUAAGAGAGGACCAGUUGAUAAGAGAGGACCAGUGGAGAAGAGAACUGUUCUUCACUAGGCUUUACAAUAUUUCUGUUAAGAAAGAAAAGAACAUGGCUCUUUUUUUGUUUUUAUAUCUUUCAUCAAGCAUUCUACCACACAGAAUUCUGCCACUUCAUUAUCUGUCUAAUAGUAUUCUGGAAAAUAUACAGAUUUUGUUGUACACUAAUUUCUCUUUGCAUCAAAGAGUAAAUAAAUGCCAUUGCCAUGGGAUGAUUUCCUAUGAGCAUAUGGGACUCAUGCAGGCCUUGUACACAAGGAGGUGAAUUUCAUAUAGAACUAUCACAGCUAUGCUUUGAUGGUGAUGUUCACCUCUCCCACACAAAGCCAUACUAAUCCUUUCUAAGAAGAGGUCGGGAAUGGCAUCCACCCUCUGCCCGCAGGGCUGCAAUACAGUCUUUCUAUAGCCACUCCCUGAGCUGCAUGAGUUCCCAGCCACUGAAUAAAUAUGGAUCCAGCAGCCCCCUUUCUGUCCUACUCCUAAUGUUCCCUUCUACAUCAAGUGUCAGGGAGCUCACUUCCCACUGCAUGCAUGGGAUGUGGAGACCCAUCUGCACAGCUGUUCUUCCCUAGGCAUACCCCCUCCUGUCCCUGCCAGGGCUUCUGUGCCAUUGAGACCCUGCAUAAGUUCCUUGGUAAAUCUACAUGAGGGUGAUAAGUGCUCUCAAUUUCCCCUGACAUUGAUUUCACCUUUACAGUCCAUCUAGAUGAUGGGGGGGGGGAGAGGAAGAAACUUUUAAAAAUUGAGUUAAUAAUUGUUUCAAAUCAUGUUAGUUAAGGUGUAAACUGUCUAUACAAGGUCUUAAGGGAUGUUUCAAAUCACGUUAUGCAACAAUUUAAAAAGCACGUUUCUUUUGUAAUUUAACAGACCCUUAGAGACUAGUGACACUUGUAGUUUCUGUUUCUCUAUCCCAAUAGAUCACAAACCAAGCUUUAAAGGUGACAUGCAAAGUGGUAACUUUGGGCUUCUUCCUUCUUUUGCUUUAUAACAUAUAAAGGCUUCCCCUUCAAAAGUUGACUUUCUGCUUUUCAGUAUCAGCAAGUCAAGUCUCUAUGGAUCCUGGAAAACUAGUGAAGUUGUGACUUCACAUGAUAUUGAAAGUUGAGCAACAAAGAGCAGAAAGGCAUCCUACUUGUCAGUGUUUAAAACUCUUUGUAUUUUGUUAACUAUUUAAUUCUAAGCCUAAUAAACAUUUACUCUUCUGUCAUGGCCUCACCUGAGUCAGUGGAUCACCUGGCAAUGUGAGCUUGCCUGAAUUUUUCAGCAGUAAAUAGCUAUUGAAGUUAAGUUGGCCACCUGGGCUUUAAAUUCCCAACACAUAAAACAAUUGUCUAGUGCUGGCUCAACUGAAAAGGUACAGUGAGAGCUCAGCCCCAGACUUGGCUAGGCUUCUUAGAUUAUGGUAGAGGAGAUCUUUCACCCCGAACUGGUCCCUGGAGAAAGCAGACAAAACUUUUUAAUCUUGCCUGCUGGGCCUGAUUGGCUUCUGACUGCUCCCAGCCUCUGGAGAACCAGAACUUACUGGUUCUGCUAGCAGCUGAUUCUGGGUGGCCUCUCUAAGCUGUUCUGGAGGUCUGAACUCAGUUUCCCCUGGAAAGUACCCCUUCUUCAGGCAGUAUGUGCCAAGGUGAUGAGACCUCCAGCAGGGGGAAGCAAAAUCAUGGUACACCCCACUUCCCUAGUUAUCAACCCUAGCCAAGCUUUGCAUUUCCCCUGCCAUCAACUCUGCCAAUAUUCCCACAGUCUUGUCUGUCCAUAUGUCAACUUCUCACCUCUGUGCCUUCUUCUCUGAGCCUCAUAUGCAUGGAACAACCUUCCUAAACUCAUCCACAGUGCCUAGAGCCUGUCCACAUUUAAAUUCUGCCAUGCUGCAAUACAGUGUAUCAAGUUGUCUUGUAUAGAAAUUGCACAUUGUUAUUCCACUUCCCCUAACUUCUGUCUACUAGUCCCUCUGGCAGGACUGCAAGUUCCUUGCAGCAGAGAUCAUCUUUCUUAGGGGUCUGGAAAGCACCUAGCACAGAGUAGGCACUACUGAAAAUACAUAAUAUGAGAGACUAUCUUCAUUAGAGAUUUGUGAUGAAUCCACAGAACCAUGCGAGGUCAGCAAGAGGCGUUUUGAUGAAUCUGCUGGGUGAGAGUCUUUUGUGACUCUUUCCCUCCUGGGUAGGGAUGUAGGUGAAGAAGGUUUUCUGGCAGUAGGAGGGCCAGCAUAUAGAGGAAGAAUGUUUGGGUUCUCCUGGGGGAGCACAGUGUCUGGUGGAAGUUGGUGGAGUGUUGUGUGGGCCCCACCAGCUGUUAGAGCCUUAGCAGCCAAAGUGCCUACAGUUCGUGCCGGGGCCAUCGUGUGCUACCAGGGUUCAGCUCAAGACAAAGUUUGAUAGCACACCACUCCAAAGACCACACAAGUAGGCACUGAUUACAAUACAGCCAACCCCAAAAGUUCAAGAAUCACGUCACCCCCCACAAAACCCAUGACACUGUCCCCAAAUUUUUUUAUAACUUUUAAGAAUGAUUAUAUUGUAGUAUGUGAUCUGUCUUUUCAUUUUGAACUCCCCCUGCCACUCACAUAUGUGUGUGUCAUUCAUAAUAUUGGCAACUCUUUCAUAUUUAUAGAGUAAAGUGAUUUUGAACUCUGCAGCAGGAGCUCUCAUUGGAAGACCCAACUGAGGUCAAAUUAUAUGGAUUUAUUGCCUGAUGGGGCAUGGCUUCUCCCCAAACCCAAAUAUUCUAACUAAUUCUGUGCCCUCCAGCCCCACAUUUGGCCAUCCCUUAGUCCAUCAAUUAAUUAUACACACCCCAGCCUCCGUGUCAGCUGUGCUCCACCCAGCCACACACCUACCCUAUGGCCCCUAGCCUCACCUCUGCUGUCCUCCUGCAGCUCCAGGAGCUCUUCACUCCCUCUUCCAGGCCUGCUGGCAUCACCCCCCUUUAUGUGUAUGGUAGGGGCUGCUUCUUCUCCCCUAGCCAAAAACUCCUUUCAAUGGCUGAGGGGAGGGUGUCUGAUGCCUCUAAUAGCAGCACCGUAGCUUUUCCCCAGGAAGCAAGGAAGACACAGAGGGGUUUUUCCUCUCUGCUGGAGUUUUGGUCAGCUUCUCCCAUUGAGAUUCUGGAGAGGCUGGGUUAGCUUUGGGCCUCUGUUGUGAGCUGAAUCCAUGUACCUCAGUUGAUAAAACAUCCUGUAAACACAGCAGGCUCAAUUCUCUGCUCAGUGCAGGAACUGGGAAGCAGGAGAAGGCAAAGAUGGUUUUAAGACACUGGGUCUGGCCCAAAGUGUAAUUUAGAGCAGCUGCAAGAUUCCUUUAACUUACAUUUGGGUUCUUAAGGCCACAUGGGGCUAUGCCAGCAAUUGAAAAUAGCCAGAGCACAGUUGAACCCAAGCCAUGUCCCCUUUUUUUGGUCAUGUCCCUUACACCAGGAGUGGCAAGGGAGUCACAUACAGUAGGAAUGCCAGCUCUAUGACACGAGGGCUUCCCACCUAUGCUGGGGGUAUUUCCCUUUAUUUUGAUCCAGUAGUAUUAAAACUCUCUUUAGCAAUUGCGGGAACACUAAUGUAAACUCACUGCCAGUGCUUUAACCACUGUGUCCACUAAUUCUGCUGUGAAUAGGUGUAGAUGGCACUCUGGUUAAAAUCCUGGCAGCCAUGGGAGGGCUUGUCCAGACUGGCACUUUCAGAAUUGCUCCUGCCAGUGGAGCUACACUGAUGUUCAGGCACCAGUGGGAGGGAGGGUGACCAGGGUUUUUUAGGGGGAGGAAUCAGUAGUGGUAUGAAAUAGCCUUGUUGGGUGACUUUGGGGAUUUGGGAGAGUGUUGUUGUUUUUUGGACUGUGG